rnacentral:tRNA from 1 species
GACACUAUGGCCGAGUGGUUAAGGCGUGAGACUCGAAUCAUCUCUUGGGCUCUGCCCGCGCAGGUUCGAAUCCUGCUGGUGUCG